GGGGCGGGGGCGGGGGCGCCGCAGCCGGACCGCCCGUCGCCGGCGGGGAAGCGCGGGGCGGCUCCGCGCUCGGUGGUUUUCGGGUUCUGGCUCUUCGGGUUGAUGCAGGGGUGACCCAAAGCCGUGAGCGUGGGAGGAACAUCUAGAGGGUGACGCCUGACGGCAGAAGGGAUCGUGUGGACCAGCUCUAAUACUGGACAGAUGAGGAAUCCCAGUGACAACGGGAUGAUACCCAGUGCUGCUGUGCUUCCAUCUGAACAGAUACCCAUUUGCCCCAUUGUUUAUAGCUCACUUCUUGAAAUGCAUAUGCCUAUUUCAAAUUGAAAGAAAUUCUCAAUACAGUAGGAAUACUGUUCAAUGAU